rnacentral:rRNA from 3 species
GGGUUGUGAGGUUAAGCGACUAAGCGUACACGGUGGAUGCCCUGGCAGUCAGAGGCGAUGAAGGACGUGCUAAUCUGCGAUAAGCGCCGGUAAGGUGAUAUGAACCGUUAUAACCGGCGAUUUCCGAAUGGGGAAACCCAGUGUGAUUCGUCACACUAUCAUUAACUGAAUCCAUAGGUUAAUGAGGCGAACCGGGGGAACUGAAACAUCUAAGUACCCCGAGGAAAAGAAAUCAACCGAGAUUCCCCCAGUAGCGGCGAGCGAACGGGGAGGAGCCCAGAGCCUGAAUCAGCAUGUGUGUUAGUGGAAGCGUCUGGAAAGGCGCGCGAUACAGGGUGACAGCCCCGUACACAAAAGCGCAUGUGCUGUGAGCUCGAUGAGUAGGGCGGGACACGUGGUAUCCUGUCUGAAUAUGGGGGGACCAUCCUCCAAGGCUAAAUACUCCUGACUGACCGAUAGUGAACCAGUACCGUGAGGGAAAGGCGAAAAGAACCCCGGCGAGGGGAGUGAAAAAGAACCUGAAACCGUGUACGUACAAGCAGUGGGAGCACCCUUCGGGGUGUGACUGCGUACCUUUUGUAUAAUGGGUCAGCGACUUAUAUUCUGUAGCAAGGUUAACCGUAUAGGGGAGCCGGAGGGAAACCGAGUCUUAAUUGGGCGUUAAGUUGCAGGGUAUAGACCCGAAACCCGGUGAUCUAGCCAUGGGCAGGUUGAAGGUUGGGUAACACUAACUGGAGGACCGAACCGACUAAUGUUGAAAAAUUAGCGGAUGACCUGUGGCUGGGGGUGAAAGGCCAAUCAAACCGGGAGAUAGCUGGUUCUCCCCGAAAGCUAUUUAGGUAGCGCCUCGUGAAUUCAUCUCCGGGGGUAGAGCACUGUUUCGGCUAGGGGGCCAUCCCGGCUUACCAACCCGAUGCAAACUGCGAAUACCGGAGAAUGUUAUCACGGGAGACACACGGCGGGUGCUAACGUCCGUCGUGAAGAGGGAAACAACCCAGACCGCCAGCUAAGGUCCCAAAGUCAUGGUUAAGUGGGAAACGAUGUGGGAAGGCCCAGACAGCCAGGAUGUUGGCUUAGAAGCAGCCAUCAUUUAAAGAAAGCGUAAUAGCUCACUGGUCGAGUCGGCCUGCGCGGAAGAUGUAACGGGGCUAAACCAU